UACGGAGGGGACUAGCGUUGUUCGGAAUUACUGGGCGUAAAGCGCACGUAGGCGGAUUUGUAAGUCAGGGGUGAAAUCCCGGGGCUCAACCUCGGAACUGCCUUUGAUACUACAAAUCUCGAGUCCGGAAGAGGUGAGUGGAAUUCCUAGUGUAGAGGUGAAAUUCGUAGAUAUUAGGAAGAACACCAGGUGGCGAAGGCGGCUCACUGGUCCGGUACUGACGCUGAGGUGCGAAAGCGUGGGGAGCAAACAGGG
rnacentral:rRNA from 1 species